AUAAUUCAUGGGUAUGAUAACUCAUAGCCGUUGAUUUAAAAUCUUAGUGUGGAUUAUUUUUCACCUUCUCCAUCACAGUCUGGUUUGAUAUCUUAAUUUCUUCAACCUCUUUUCUCUCCCCCUUAUACAGGUGUGGUUUUUUACUUUCUUCUUCUGACUUUCAACUUCAUGCUUGUGAGUUUUUCGGACUUGUCUCCCCAAGGAAUGCCAAUGGUUUAUUUGAUGUCUCAAGUAGUUACGAUCAACUUUUUCCCCCGAUAGUACAAGAUAGCAAAAAAAGAGGCAAAAAAGACAGUUAGUCAAGCAAGAGCACAGGACUUUGAAAAGUUAUAUGAGAAACU
rnacentral:misc_RNA from 1 species